UUUGUACUCCCUCCGUCCCAAAAUUCUUGUCUUAAUUUUGUCUAAAUACGGAUGUAUCUAGUUACAUUUUAGUGUUAGAUACAUCUGUAUCUAAAGAAAUGUAAGAAAAGAAUUUUGGGACGGAGGGAAUACUAC
rnacentral:pre_miRNA from 1 species